GGGGUUGUACUUUAAUGUUUAGAAGAGCUGGUUUGCAGCCAGCUAGUGGCACUACUGUGGCCCGAUUCCA
rnacentral:tRNA from 1 species